rnacentral:snoRNA from 1 species
UGCGAUUGCAGUGAUGACAAUCAUCUAAUCCCAGCUCUAUGAGACCUUUAAUGAAGGUCCUGGAUUAUAUUCUUUUUCCAACACAUCUGAGCGUCGCC